AUCAGACCUUAACUCUUGCCCUGGUCAAAAUACCUUCAGGGAGUUACUUCACAGUACUGAAAGAAGCACCAACACAGGUUCCUUCUGUUUUCUGUUGCUCAAUAUAGUGCACUGUCACUGCAGCCUGGCUUUCCAGCUGUGCAAGAUGUGACAUUUGCCUUGUAAAUAGAAGCCUGAAGGGCUUCUCUCGGUCCCACUGCAUCUCCUCUGAGAAACUGCUACAAUUGAUGGCCAAGAGACCCCCCCGUUUUACACUCUAUAUAUAUGCUUUUGAACUGUUUUAUGAAUCAGGCCCUAUGUUUCAUGCCAGGCAUCCUGCCAUGUGCCUCAUGUAGUUUGUAUAAACCUCUAGGGCUGCCUUUAAUCUGCUUUCCCAGAGUCCCUAGGUUUGAAAACGUGUAUACCAGGAAGACAGAGAGGAGCUGGAAAAAGAGAAAAGAAAUCAAAGCACAAAGCAAGCUCACUUGUGUAAAUCUUGGUCACCACUGCGAGAAGGGCCUAUUUGGUUCUGCAGCCCUCACCCUUUCUCCUCAGGUACCAGAUUAAUGGGGGACCAUUUUCCCCCUUCUGAUUGUGUAAAUGAGGAAGCUGUUGACUCGCCCGGUACUGGGAAGACAUAUGUGCUUCAUUAUCUGGAUUCUUUGUAUUGUUUCAGCUUGUUGCUGGCUGGGAACGUGCAGCCUUGAGCUGUUCCCAUUUUUAAAACACACUUUUUUCUGCCCCAGAUUAUUGCCAAGUGGAGAUUUAAGUACACUAUUACUUUUAUGGAGAACUAUUAAGAGUUAUUAGAUCCCAUUAGAGCAAACUAUGCUCUUUUAAAAAAGAAUCCUUUCCUUUAUUUUUGAACAACCAUUUAUAUUCAUUUAAACCUGACAGAAUGUUUGUAUCAAGGCAAACACAGUUAAUUAUAUCCUAGAUCAGUGAGAACAUUUCUUGUUUAGUUUUAAAAAAUGGUUUACUAGUCUCCCCUAGAGACGGUGGUUUAGGAAUGUGGAUUUAAAGGAAGUCUGAGCCAUUAUGAGUGCACUGGGUGUGCUGGCAUGGAUGGCAUGACAAGAGUUGAGUAAAGUGAUAGGAAAGUGAAUCCCAGCACAAUGUGGACCUGUUUUGGUACUAGGUUUGGACAAAGUCCUCAGCUCAUGGAGAUUAAAAUGUCAAGGGAGGCCUUUGUAUCAGUAGAAGCAGGAUCAGACCCCCCAUUGCAAUAGGAAUAUGACCUAAUACUACUGGCAGAAGUCAUGACUAGUAAGAGCUGCACACAGCACUUGUGCCUGGGUGGUUGAGUUUUCUUUAGAGAGGAUGAAUGCUUGGAGCUGGUCUGCUCCAAGUUUACUUCAUGCCUACUCCUUUCUUUGCAGUUUACACCCAGCUCUCCAAAUCUCUGUGCAUUACUGCUUUGUCUCCAGUCAGUUCCAGAUAAAAUGAAGGAAAUGUGUCUCAGAGGAUUGAAGAAGUGUGUGCUGACACCAUCUUUUCUGAGCAACGCCUCAGAGAUUAGCUCAGACUUUAUCCCUUCCCUAACAGCAGCAUUGGUUGUAGGCAACAUUCUCAGUAGCCCAGACCUAUGAGUUUGGUCUGCUUAAACUGUAAUUUGUACAACCCACUUUGGGAAGAAUGGUAUGUCUUCCUGGAAAACACUCCAUUUCCCUUCCCUUCUCAAAGGCACACUGGUGAGGAGAUGACUAAAUGCUGCCACAGGAGGGAGAAAAACAAACAGGAAAGAAUUAAAAGGGCCUCGGAUAGGGCUGGAAAGCAAAAGGCAUAAAUUAUUCAUCUCUUCCCCUCCCUGAACCCUCUCGCAGCCAGCACAUGCACACCACCUCCCUUCUGGACAAGCCUUUGGCAUGAGCGGCGGAUCGCACUAAUGCUCCAUCCCAUUCCGCAGCGGAGCAGCGCUUGGCAGGAGGAGACAGGAGACUCCCUCAGGAGAACUUUGUGAGAACAGAGCUGCACGGCUGAGCUAGGACAUCAGUGCUGCUGAUUAGGAAAUACACUGCUCCCAAAACAGCCCCCUGGAGCUGGGUGUACAAGCACAGCGUGGAGAAGGCAGGGAAAUGAACCCACAUGGAACACUCUGAGAAUUUACAGACUGCUCCUCAGAAUGGCACUAAAACAACAUGUACACUGUUUUCUCAGGGAUUGGCCAGCCUAGGAUCUCUUUUUCUCUUUCAAAUACACCGAGUCGUUUCCAAGCUCAGGGACAGCUCCGUGCUCAUAAAGCAGCACAUAACACAUGCUCCACUAGCCUAUAGACCAGACAUGUGUCACCCUCCCCUGCUGCCAGUCCUUCGCCUCAUCCUUACCCUUGCAGUCCCCCUCACUAUUGUCUUUCUCUCCCCUUUCCUGCUUACAUG